rfam:Ixodes scapularis strain Wikel colony gcontig_1108378667728, whole genome shotgun sequence.
GCUGUCGUGGCCGAGUGGUUAAGGCGAUGGACUAAAAAUCGAUUGGGGUCUCCCCGCACAGGUUCGAAUCCUGUCGACUGCG